rnacentral:tRNA from 1 species
CAUUGAAAAGCUUAAAGAAAGCAAUGAUCUCUUAAAUCAAUUAUGAUAGUUAUCGCCUAUCUUCAGUGA